CGGGUGGGCUGCGGGGACGAGAAAGGGCUGAUCUUCUAGACGGGGCUCCCAGAAAGUGAGGGGAGAGAGUUUUCGGAGUGCCGGGGCGGUGGCCGGACCGUGAGCCUUUCCUCGUGGAAUCCUUCUCCCGCCGAGGUUACCACAAACAGCAGGGAUCGAAAGCGACUAAGGCAGCGUGUGCUGCGAGGAUAUUGAUCUGAAAGCAUGUCCAGAAGCUUUGGAUAACUCCUAACCUUGUCCAAACCAAGGAAAUAAACAGUUGAAACUGCAAGAGGAGGAGGAGGAGAAAGAAGGGUAACUGAAACAACUAGAUUUCCUUGGAGGACUGUUUCCAGCUUCUGUUGUCACAGACAAAAAACAUGCUAGAGGUAAAUAUGGGAAACACCUGUUUGAUGGAUUGGAUUGCAGUCAGUGGUUAUUGAACGAUAAUUUACUGUUACAUCUAAUUAAAAGCAGACCAUUUGUGAGCAAAUCAAUACAAUAAAACUUACCUGAAGAAUUUAAACAACCUUUUACAGCAUCUCUCAUUGGCUCAACAUGAAUUUUUUUCUCAGUAACUUGUUUAGGAUUUGAAAGCUGCAAAGAUAUAUCUUUCACGUGACCUGAUGUUCAGUGUUAGAUGGAGCUGCUAGACAGCUUACUUAAUUAGUUCAGCUAAUGAUUCAAUUUCUGAAACCUAAUGCCAAUUUGUAUUUACACAGCAGCUCUCAGUGUGUUUCUCUAAAGCAACACUUAAGUUUUUAAAUGCUAGUAGUUAAUAAGCAUUUGGAGCUGAAGAUUAUAGUUGUAAAUACAGGGUAAAGUGCAUACAGGGAUGCUGUUGUCAAAAACAAACCCACUGCAAAUUAGCUCAGUCAGCACUAGCAGAAAACCCAUUUUGUUUGCUUUGUUCAUCUUCUGGUUUUAUUAUACAGUUGUUUACUUUGUGUGCUCAUCUUCACCAAAAAACCCUGUUGUCGUCUUAAUUAGAAGCUCCCUCUUCUGCAGCUCAUAGCUGCAGUCAUUACCCAUGGAGCGACUCCCUAUAUUCCUUUCAUUCAGGACUCAAGUGGCAUCUUAUAUGUGAUUUCCAUUGUAGGAGCCUUAGUAAUGUUUUCCAUACAGCUUCUUGUUUACAGCUGGAACACCUGGCACUGGGAAUCUCUAGGUUGGAUAGUGCUUCCUGCUCCAUAAAUUACCCUUCUCCUCUGUUCAACUUCGAAAAUACCAGCUUUGUCUCACAGACUACUGGUGACCUAGUGUGCCCUAGGAGAGAUAUGGCAAGACUUCUUCUGUUACCUGAGCUCUCAGUAAGUAUAGUAGAGACCUUCAUGCAUUCUGGUAUUUGUGAUACAUAGUCCUUUCCUACUGAGAGUGCCAUCUACAUAAUUUGUUCAAUGAAUUGCAGUCUGUAAAAGUGCUUUCCAGCAACAGAAUAGGCAUGCUUGGUUAUGCAGGAGUCAUAUCAAGAGUUCUUUUCCAUAACAGAGUCAUUGAAUAUCCUGAGUUGGAAGGACCCAUGAAGAUCAUAGAGUCCAACUCUCUUCGGUUGUUUUUAGUUGUGCCCCCUUACUCCUGCAUCUUGCUAUAUGCCAGCACAGGUUACGCUUGUACAAAUGGGAAAUAGUGUUCAAAGUAGCUAGGACAGUUUAACAUACAAAAAUUUGACUAAUAGAUUCAAACACUGCGG
ensembl:lncRNA